rnacentral:rRNA from 1 species
GGAGUUUGGACCGUGUCUCAGUUCCAAUGUGGGGGACCUUCCUCUCAGAACCCCUACUGAUCGUUGGCCAGGUGGGCCGUUACCCCGCCUGCAACCUAAUCAGACGCAUCCCCAUCCCAUAGCGAUGAAUCUUUGCUCCAACUUAGAUGCCUGCAUUGGAGAACAUAGGGAAUUAAUCCGACUUUCGCCGGGCUGUGCCCUACUACGGGGAAGGUUGGAUACGCGUUACUCACCCGUGCGCCGGUCGCCAUCAAUCAAAGCAAGCUUCGAUUAUGCUGCCCCUCGACUUGCAUGUGUUAAGCCUGUAGCUAGCGUUCAUC